rnacentral:rRNA from 1 species
CUCAACCGAGGAAUAGCAGGGCAAACCGCAGGUCUUGAGGCGAGUAGAGGCUGUCGGAACGAUCGGUGGAGCGGUGAAAUGCGUAGGUAUCGAUCGGAACGCCGAAGGUGAAGACAGGCAGCUGGGCUCGUCCUGACGCUCAGGCACGAAAGCGUGGGGAGCAAACGGGAUUAGAUACCCCGGUAGUCCACGCCCUAAACGAUGCGCACUAGAUCGAGGUGGCUCUGACGCCUUCUCGGUCGAAGAGAAAUUGUUAAGUGCGCCGCCUGGGGAGUACGGUCGCAAGGCUAAAACUCAAAGGAAUUGACGGGGGCUCACACAAGCGGUGGAGCAUGUUGCUUAAUUCGAAGCAACGCGAAGAACCUUAUCCUGGGCUUGACAUGCAUGGAUUAGUGUAUGGAAACAUACAUGACGCCCUUUGGGUGGAACA